rnacentral:lncRNA from 1 species
UUUUACACAUAAAAAUUAUUUGCAAUUCAAUAAUUCAUCCCUUCAUUCAUUUCAUAGAUGCUAUGGAACUCCUAUCACAUUCCAAGUGCUGUGUUGAUAUCUGGAGAUACAGACAAGAUCAAAGCAGAUGCAGAGUCUUUCACAUGAAUAUGUGAAUCAGAAAUACAGGCACAAAGACAAGAGAUGUCUCGCAGAAGAGAGUUGCAAAUUCAGAUAUCACAGAAGCCAGCACUGCCACUUUGUCAAAGACCAGCUGACCUCACGGGCACAAGCAUGCCAUGCAGAUAUGACAAUGUCCAACAAAACAUGAGAGAGAAGGAGAAAGAAUGGGUCUUUGGCAUCUAUUCAAAUGUGGGUUAUUUUUUUUUUCUAUGAGCCUCUAUAAGGUAAAAAUCAGACCCUCUAUAUCAGUUCUCACUGCAUGUCAGAUCUCAAUAAAAUAAA